UACGAAGGAUCCAAGCGUUAUCCGGAUUCACUGGGUUUAAAGGGUGCGUAGGUGGGUUGGUAAGUCAGUGGUGAAAUCCCCGAGCUUAACUUGGGAACUGCCAUUGAUACUAUCAGUCUUGAAUACCGUGGAGGUCAGCGGAAUAUGUCAUGUAGCGGUGAAAUGCUUAGAUAUGACAUAGAACACCAAUUGCGAAGGCAGCUGGCUACACGAAUAUUGACACUCAGGCACGAAAGCGUGGGGAUCAAACAGG
rnacentral:rRNA from 1 species